rnacentral:SRP_RNA from 1 species
CUUUUAGACCUGUGCAAUGGUGCUCUCAAGUACUGAGUCAGAAUGGGAACAUAGCAGCUCACUUGGUUGUAUCAUGUGCCGCAGGUAUCUGAAAGGGA